rnacentral:rRNA from 1 species
GAUGAACGCUGGCGGCGUGCCUAAUACGUGCAAGUCGAGCGAACGGACGAGAAGCUUGCUUCUCUGAUGUUAGCGGCGGACGGGUGAGUAACACGUGGAUAACCUACCUAUAAGACUGGGAUAACUUCGGGAAACCGGAGCUAAUACCGGAUAAUAUUUUGAACCGCAUGGUUCAAAAGUGAAAGACGGUCUUGCUGUCACUUAUAGAUGGAUCCGCGCUGCAUUAGCUAGUUGGUAAGGUAACGGCUUACCAAGGCAACGAUGCAUAGCCGACCUGAGAGGGUGAUCGGCCACACUGGAACUGAGACACGGUCCAGACUCCUACGGGAGGCAGCAGUAGGGAAUCUUCCGCAAUGGGCGAAAGCCUGACGGAGCAACACCGCGUGAGUGAUGAAGGUCUUCGGAUCGUAAAACUCUGUUAUUAGGGAAGAACAUAUGUGUAAGUAACUGUGCACAUCUUGACGGUACCUAAUCAGAAAGCCACGGCUAACUACGUG